rnacentral:miRNA from 1 species
AUAUAUUUGUAAAAUUCCAAUUU